GGUCACAAAUGCAGGGGGCACCACCUUUGUGGCUUCACGGGCCCCCAGCCAGAGAGUCCCCUCCCAGACAUGGCCUUCUUGCCAGAUCCGCAAGGCGCACGUGGCUGGAACUGAUCUCUGCAGAAGGGUGGCCAGUGGCAUGGUGGGGGGAUCCCUCCGGCAGAAAGAAAGGCCCGGAGCCCUGACUCCUGCCCCCCGGGGCCACCUUCUUAUAUGGACUCCCAGCCAGGAAGCACCUGGCUCUGCAUCCGGGGAGCCAAGAAGAAAGCUGGCCUGGAGCUUUGGUCUGGAGCCGCUGGCACCGAAGGGACACAGGGAGCAGGUGCCUAGAAGAGAAUCCCAGGCCAGACCCCAAGGAAGCCUCUGGGACAACGCUCAGGAAAGUCUUGGAGAUCCCAGAGGUGAACCUGGGCUGAGGGCCGAGUUCUUUUGUCCCUCCGGGUCCCCCCUUGGGGGUCAGAGGCCGUCUGUGAACCCUUAGCUGCUCUGCCCAGGCAGGCCUGUGUGACCACCCCAUGGACGGGACGAGGGUGCAGUGAGAGUGUCGGGAAAGGCCGUGGGGUCUCUUGGGAAAACUGCUCCGGGAGCCGUGAGUUGUCGUGUCCCCACGUCCCGUGGCCACUGCAACAAACCCACAGCCAGGUAUUGGGGCUUCGGCCUUUGGACACGACUGAAGCCACAACCUGUGGCCACGCACAGAGUCCGGCUCCUGUGAGGCCACCACGUGGAGAAGAGGAAUGUGCAGGAGAAGCCAUGGCUGCUCAUCUGCGACACCUUGAGUCUUGUCCCAGACAGCAGGCGGACACGGGAAGAGCCACCAUCCGCAUGUGACUGUGUUUGAGACGCAGCGUGAGAACCGCCCUGCUGAGCCCAAUUCACUUCCAGACCCAUAAGCAGAAUGAGCGGCUGCCGUUGCUAGAACCAUCAGAACAGAGCCAUCGGUCAAGGUCACCCAGUGACUCGAGAACAAAGCUGCUGGGGCUUUCUCUUAGAGAGCCUGAAGCCUAUUAAAUCCUUAAAUGGCAUUA